UGAAACACCAGAUGGCACCAGAGAGCAGGAAAUUUCCAAGCAUGAUUUUCCAUAGAGAUUUUUUUUCUUUUGGUUAAAAUGAUCUAAUUUCUUACUUAUUUCUAACAGUUUUCCCCUGUGUUUAGAUGCACCCCUGGACAACUAUUUUAUGGCAAAGGAGGGCCAAACAUCUUAUCUCAAAAUCAAGGCACUCCGGCUUCCCCACCCCUUUUGGAGCAGGUGGCAAAGAUUACUUUCCUCCCUGCUGUUGUUAGUUAGGCAUAGAAUAUGGAGAUCAUCUUUUGGUGGGAAAUGAGGACGAAUGCAUUUCGUCUGUUUCUGAUUUUAUUCUUAAAAGAUGGGAUACGGUCAACUCCAGAACAGUUGUAGCCACCUGUUCAAUUAGAGUUUGUGAACUGAAGCUGAUUGGAAUUUGACACUCUGUUGCUUUGCUGGGUUUUUGGGAUGGAUCAAUGGAGGCUUCUCGGAUAGCAGUGACACAAUCUGUAUGCUAGCCCAUGGAAUCCCAGAUGUCUCCCAUAAAUCAUUAGCAUACAGCCCCUGCUACAGCCGAGAAGGCUGAGUGUAGCAUAAUGCACUAAAAAUAAUAAAUCAAAUUAGCACAAAGGUCAAGCCAGCCCAGAGGGACUGGGGAUCAGCUAGUUCAUCCUUGCAGUGCAAGCUAAACGAUGCGGUGAAAUAGAUGGAAUCUCCACCUGCCUCUUCCCAGAGACAUAAUUCAUUAUCAAGCCCUGAGAUGCAAGGAAGAAAAUGUGGCCGCAAGAGAGUUUAGUCCGAGCAAUGUGGCAGGGAAAAGGAAUAUCUGAGGCUCCUGCAAGGGAAGCGGACUCCCAAACAUUUCAGAGUGUCAGGCAGCUGGGCCAGCGAUGGAGAGGAGCCCAGAUCUGAACAGAUUCUCAGCUAUCAAUUAUUAGCGUCAUCAGGGCAUCCUAGGCUAUUUGAGAGUCCACUCCUGCUACCCAGGGCUCGUAGCUGGAUGAGGAACCCUGUGUUUGGGCAAAUCCCUCGGUUUGAAUCCACCGAUUUCAAGGCCUCCACGAGUGUCAGGUUUUCAUGGAUCAUCAAAUAGGCCAGCACUAAAGUGGCUGAGCGGCUUAACCCCAUGGCACAAUGGACAAAUACCUUGCCUGCAGAGAAAUAACAAAAGAACAGCAUUUAAUUGAUGUGGAACAUAGAAGGUUAAGACCAGUGCUUGCCCCCCCUGCCCCCGGCCAGAACUCAUUGCAACUCAGUUCCGGCUCCUCUCAGGUACACCCAUCUGAAGAUACCCUGGAAAAGAUUGAAGAUUCCAGGACGGAGGCAGAACGGGACUCCAUACAACACCCAGGGUCAAUGAUGAGAUGCAGUUCCUCCUGCUAAUUCUAUGUACUGGUGGUGAGCUUUAGAAGCCCUGCACUGGGUUAUCGUAAAAAGAAACCUACAAUGAGAAACUUGAGUUACGCAUGUUUAUGUAAAGUCAGCAUUGGCCAAUGAGAAGGUAAAGAUCAAGGUAAAGGGACCCCUGGACAGUUAAGUCCAGUCAAAGGCGGCUAUGGGGUUGCGGCGCUCAUCUCGCUUUCAGGCCGAGGGAGCUGGCGUUUGUCCACAGGCAGCUUUCUGGGUCAUGUGACCAGCAUGACUAAACCGCUUCUAGCGCAACGGAAGACCGUGACGGAAACUGAGCGCACGGAAACGCUGUUUACCUUCUUGCCACAGCGGUACGUAUUUAUCUACUUGCACUGGUAUGCUUUCAAACUGCUAGGUUGGCAGGAGCUGGGACAGAGCCAUGGAAGCUCACCCCAUCCUGUGGAUUUGAACCACCGACCUUCUGAUCGGCAAGCCCAAGAGGCUCCAUGGUUUAGAUCACAGCGCCACCCACAUCCCUACAACGAGAUGGUUGAGUUAUGCAUGUUUAUGUAAAGUCAGCAUUGGCCAACGAGAAGAGAGGUGGUUAAUCAACUUUAAAAAUUCUCAGCUUGGUUGAUAGCCCAAUAACUUUUUAUGUAGGAUUUGAGAGACGGGAAUAACUUCCUGCUUUUUUCAAAACUAGCCUUGCUUCUGCAGCUUCAACUUCAGCCAGACAGGGAGAAAUUAAUCAAGCAACGCUAUCCACGCCACCUACUAUCACUACCCUAGGAAAAGUUUCACCUGCUCCAGUUCUGCAUGCAAAGCUGCCGUCACAACCCCACAUGCCACUCCUCCUCCUUUCCUGGAGAUCUAGUAUGGGGAAGCCCAUCCCUGAGCAAGAAAGGCCAAUUAAGCAAAGCAUCCUUAAGUAGCCUUAAGCCCCUUGCUAAAUGCGGCAAGAUUAAAGGGAACAGCGGCAGCUUUGGGCCCACGCAGCUGGCAACCGAGUGCCUCUCGCAUCUCGAAGGCCGCUCCUCCUCCCGCUAUCUCCCUCUUACCUCCUG